CCAGCAGCCGCGUUAAUUCCAGCUCCAAUAGCGUAUAUUUAAGUUGCUGCAGUUAAAAAGCUCGUAGUUGGAUUUCGGGUGGGGCCUGCCGGUCCGCCGUUUCGGUGUGCACUGGCAGGGCCCACCUUGUUGCCGGGGACGGGCUCCUGGGCUUCACUGUCCGGGACUCGGAGUCGGCGCUGUUACUUUGAGGAAAUUAGAGUGUUUCAAGCAGGCAUACGCCUUGAAUACAUUAGCAUGGAAUAAUAAUAUAGGACUUCGGUUCUAUUUUGUUGGUUUCGAGAACUGAAGUAAUGAUUAAUAGGGACAGUCGGGGGCAUUCGUACUCAACAGUCAGAGGUGAAAUUCUUGGAUUUGUUGGAGACGAACUACUGCGAAAGCAUUUGCCAAGGAUGUUUUCAUUGAUAAAGAACGAAAGU
rnacentral:rRNA from 1 species